rnacentral:tRNA from 1 species
AUCUCCUUAGUUUAAUGGAAGAACAAAUGAACGCGUUGAGGUGCAGGUUCGAGUCCUGCAGGAGAUUCA